AACGAGAUUAUAUUUUUUGCAAAGAUGCUCUUAACAACAAUGGGCCAAAGCAGCUUUAACGCAAUCUUCUGGCCUCACGCUCUGAUUCAAGAAGAACCAAGAUGUCAUCUUCACGAACAGGUCCCUUAACGUUACGAAUGAUAGAACGAGAAGUGUCAUCCAUAAAUUCGACACGGACUUGGGUGACUCCACCACUACAGAGAAGUUAGUAA